rnacentral:rRNA from 1 species
CAAUAGUGUAUAUUAAAGUUGUUGCGGUUAAAAAGCUCGUAGUUGAACAUCGUUAUGGAAUCUAAAUUAAUAUCAUCAUAAGAUGAUUUAAUAUUAGAUGAAAUAACUUAUAGACUGUAUUUGGGACUCGACGAGGUAAUUGUCAUCCUAACAGUCCAUUUUACUUUGAGGAAAUUAGAGUGUUUAAAGCAUUGUCUUAUGGACAAGAUAUAUUUUAGCAUAGAAUAAAUUGAUUUCAUUUUUUAUUCUCUUUGAUGAAUUAGGAGUUUUGAAAAAUGAAAAUGAAAAGAAACUAUUGGGGGUAUUUGUAUUCGACAGCUAGAGGUGAAAUUCUUGAAUUUGUCGAGGACAAACUAAGGCGAAAGCAUAUACCUAAUUAGUUUUCAUUGA